rnacentral:lncRNA from 1 species
AAAUCAUCACGAGCAAGCAGGGGCUGUAAUCUCUUAUGUAUUUUUCGUGACCAGCGUUUGUUGCGCCACCGCUGUAAGCGAACCCGCCGAACCGAACUAAAAUGCAAUAUGGCCGUCUAAAAUCAACAUGGCCGUAGUAAUGAGUUCCGUUCAACAAGCAAAGUAAAGUGAAGCAAAGCUUACGAGCGAAGAAGGAGGUUAUUUCUUACGAACGGAAUAAUUUAAAACUGAUGACACCAGUAGCUGUUCUUAUGUGUACACCAGCCUUCGACACCAUAUAGAAUAAAGAUGCUGUCAGAGGAGUUAGAUGAGGGAGCUACAACCAAGAAAAAGCAAUCUGUGAUCACAUUACUUAGCUUCGACAAACGAUGACCUAAGUUCAACUGAUUGUAGGCUCUUACGUCCACGUGGAAUCAGCUGCUCCUUUGCAACUUGCAACAGGCUAAGGCUGCGUUCCGAUAUUAAUUGUCAGUACUGAAAAUCUACAGUAUAUGUGACAUAAACUAUAGAUUUUCAGUACUGGCAGUGAAUAUCGAAACGCAGCCUAAGUUACGAAGAAGCAGCUGAUUCCACAUGAACGUAAGAAAGAGGCUACAAUCAGUUGAACUUUGGUCAUCGUUUGUCGAAGCUAAUGGGUGUCAAGACAAAUCACUUGAAUGCAAACUACUUUCCAGUAUGUUGUAGCAUAAGAAAGCAAGAAAAUUGUAUUGGAGGAGAAACAACGUGAUUUAGAGAAUAAGGUGCUCUGUCACAUAGAAUGUAAUUCUAUUAUAAAAACAUGUAAUGGUUCCAUAAAAUAAAUAAGUUCAAAAAA